AGAUACUACUUAUAAAAAAGGUUUAAUUGGAAUGAUACAGAGAAGAUUAGCAUGGCCCCUGCACAAGGAUGAUACACGAAUUCAUGAAGCGUUCCAUAUUUUU
ensembl:snRNA U6 U6 spliceosomal RNA